rnacentral:rRNA from 1 species
AGUGAACGCUGGCGGUAGGCCUAACACAUGCAAGUCGAACGCAUCCUUCGGGGUGAGUGGCAGACGGGUGAGUAACGCGUGGGAACGUGCCCUUCAGUUCGGGAUAACCCAGGGAAACUUGGGCUAAUACCGGAUACGUGCGAGAGCAGAAAGAUUUAUCGCUGAAGGAUCGGCCCGCGUCUGAUUAGCUAGUUGGUGGGGUAAUGGCCCACCAAGGCGACGAUCAGUAGCUGGUCUGAGAGGAUGAUCAGCCACACUGGGACUGAGACACGGCCCAGACUCCUACGGGAGGCAGCAGUGGGGAAUAUUGGACAAUGGGCGCAAGCCUGAUCCAGCCAUGCCGCGUGAGUGAUGAAGGCCUUAGGGUUGUAAAGCUCUUUCAGUGGGGACGAUAAUGACGGUACCCGCAGAAGAAGCCCCGGCUAACUUCGUGCCAGCCGCCGCGGUAA